rnacentral:lncRNA from 1 species
UUUUAAUUCGUGAAGCCUCCUAACAAAUGUCAUAUUAAAAGGUCAAGGAAAAAAACCCAUCAUUCUAGGUACAUUAAAAUUGACAUUUUCACACUAUUUUAAGAUUGGAUAUGCCAUUAAAUCAGAACAAAACGCUUAUAGAUGGAAUCGACAAAACAUCAGGAAACUAAUUAGGAGCAAUAGAAGUGGAAGGUACCCACGUAAUCGAGAGCGAAGCAUGAGGCCAUUUUAGAACAUCGAUGAAGGUAACAGAGCGCACUGAAACCUAAAUUUGGAGCGCUGAUAGGGCAUCACCCAUUGCUUUUCAAUAUAGGGCUUCUCAUAGAUAGCCCCCGAAGAGAGAGAGACUCCCGAGCGCGGUUUAAACAAUCGCCCGCCACCAAACUAUGUUUUCACCCUAUGUUUAAACAAUGUUUAAACAAUCGAGAAGCAGUUCCCAUGUGAAACUAUGUUUUCACCCUAAGAUUUAAGGAUGCACCUCGGCAAUCCAUCGGCAAAGGUUAUUUUAAUGUCGAAAAACCAUUUAAUUGAUCAUCUCGACCUCUACAGAUGCACCUCGACGAUCCAUCGGCAAAGGUUAUUUUAAUGUUAGAAAAAC